UGUUUUUGCCUCCUCCGGUACAUGCCAUGGCUGGGGAGAUAGUAUAUGCUGAUUUAAACCUUGCUGGGGCCAGGCUAUCACCUUCAUCUAAAGCUCACAGGAAUCUUCAAGAAUCCCCGCAGUGCCCACGCUGGCAUGGGGUCGUUCUGAAGGUCGGAUGCAUCACGGUCAUCAUCCUGCUGGUGAUGGUAGCAGUGCUGAGUGCUUGGGUUUUCCAGAGCUUCUCUAAUAAAGCAGAGGAAGGAACAGCCUCGAAGA
rnacentral:lncRNA from 1 species